rnacentral:rRNA from 1 species
UACGGGAGGCAGCAGUGGGGAAUAUUGCACAAUGGGCGAAAGCCUGAUGCAGCUAUGCCGCGUGUAUGAAGAAGGCCUUCGGGUUGUAAAGUACUUUCAGCGGGGAGGAAGGCGAUGUGGUUAAUAACCGCGUCGAUUGACGUUACCCGCAGAAGAAGCACCGGCUAACUCCGUGCCAGCAGCCGCGGUAAUACGGAGGGUGCAAGCGUUAAUCGGAAUUACUGGGCGUAAAGCGCACGCAGGCGGUCUGUUAAGUCAGAUGUGAAAUCCCCGGGCUUAACCUGGGAACUGCAUUUGAAACUGGCAGGCUUGAGUCUCGUAGAGGGGGUAGAAUUCCAGGUGUAGCGGUGAAAUGCGUAGAGAUCUGGAGGAAUACCGGUGGCGAAGGCGGCCCCUGGGACGAGACUGACGCUCAGGGUGCGAAAGCGUGGGGAGCAAACGAGGAUUAGAUACC